CUUUAAACCACGGCUUUAUUUUUAGAUCCAGUAAUUUUAUCUUUUGGGUUUCGGAGGGGUUUGGAAAGAAAGAGAGAGAGGGAAAAAAAAAAAAAAAAGCCUUUUUUUUUCUUUUAAUUCUUUUUCUCCACUUUCGCCACACGAACGGCUCUCAGAGCAGAAAGUUACGGGGAAAAAAAAUAGCGAAAACUUGGAGAUAUUUUCCCUCCUCAUUUACUUUUUCUUCGCAAACAGCGGUGCUUUUGGGGGGGACCUUUUCCUCCUUUUUUUUUUUUUUUUUUCCUUGCUGGUGUAUCGCCGCGCGUUUCGCCUCCACAAUAGGUUUAUUCUCCAGCCCUCCGGGUCGAAGUGUGUUUCAGUUACAAAUCGGGAUUUUUUCGCUCCUCUCUCCCCUCUCUGCCUCAGAGGAUCUGCAGUUUCAAAAAGCCGAUUGAACACGGCGUGAAAGCGUGAGGCUGACGACUCCCCCGCCUCCUACCGCCACUCUCUCUAGGUACUUCAUUUUAGAAUAUACUUUUUUUCUCGCGGCAAAAAAAGAGAGAAAAAAGAUUUUCCCUCCGCCAAACGUUCUAAAAUCUUUUUCAAUAUAUCCCUGUAUCUUUACUGUUUGAAUUUUUUCCCGUUCUCACACUCUCACGGGAGCGCAGUCCUCGUUCCGUGCCCCGCAAGGAGGAGCCCCCCGCGGAACCCCUGGCGCAUCGCAUCCCCGCUUUCCCCCCCUCAUGUCCCCAGCACCUCGCACCCCUCGUGGAUGUCACCAGCAUCGCAGUUUCAAGGCUGGGGAUGGUGCUCCCAGCUCAGCCGGGCGCUUUCAUUCAUAAAAUGGCAAGAUUGUAUCCAUGAAUGUGUGUAUAAUGAACCCAGAAGGAAUGCAGCACUAAAAGAAGCCUUUGUAAUGUUGCUAUUUUAAGGAGACCCUUGGGUAUGGCACGUGUUGAACUGAGUUUCUCCAACAUCUUACAACAAACCAAAAUGUUUAGAUCCUCCUACUGAUGCUGAUGCUUUGGACCCAGAAAGACACAAGUGGGAUGGAGAUCAGAGCCCUGGGCUUUUCCCCGCAGACCAGCAACUGGUGCCAUUUCUGGCUGAUUCUCUACUUUUCUCUUCCUAGUGAGGGUCUUUUGUUAUUUAUCAGCUCCUUUCAAAGCAACAGCCUGAGAGAUUUCACAAUACUUUUCACAUAUGGUUACUCAGCCUGGGGCUCUCCACAGCUUAGCUGUUUCAGUGAUAUUUGCACAGCACUGAGCAACAGCAUUCCUGACCUGCAGGAGAAGUGAGUGCCUCAAACCUCCUUUUCUCCAUAUACACAAGAUCUUUUUUUGCUCUUAAAAAACCCCAGACCCCUCUCCCCAUCCCUGCCAGUUGCACGGCAGACUGGAUGUCCCUGGCAGCACACUUGGGCUUGCAUCCAUUUUUCUUCUUUGUGUGUGUGUGCGUUGUCAUCCAAUGCAUGGCCAGAACCAAAGGAAAACUCAUGUGUGUGUUGUCAUCCAAUGCAUGGCCAGAACCAAAGGCAAACUCCAUUUGGGAGGUGAGCAAGGAAAACCCCUCCAAAACAGCCAGGAGCUGAAAAGAUUUGGCAAGCUUUGCAGGAGAAAACUGCCAGCAGGGAAAGACGAGGUGGAGGCAUUACUCUGACAGAAGAAGCUCUGAUUAGCAGAUUAUCACUUAAGUGAUGUUGAUCCCAGCCACGCUGCCUUCCAAAUGAGCCCUUUCACAGCUGCCAGCUGCACCACGGAGUCGUGAAUGUAAAUGAGUGGGCCAGAUCCUCUGCUGGCAUCCAUCGACGUGGCUUUGAUGGACCAUCCUGGAUCUACAACAGCCGGAGGAGUGUGGCUGUCGUGGGAGCCUGACUUGCUAUGCAGAUUUCUUUGAGAGCCUGUGGGAAAGGGCCUGAAGCUGGAUGUACUGCAGGAUAGGGCAGCAUCAACUGCACAGCUGGAGGGACCCUUGAGACUUUGACUUUUGCUGCCAAACAAAGCCAUCUUUUUGCUGAGCUUGUAAACUGUUCCCUGGUACCGUACGCCAGCAUAUAGCAUCCUGCCCUCAUAAAGCUCUACUUAUCUCCAUCCAACUUCUUGGGCUGAGCGUGUGGGAAGCAUGUGAGGGACACUCAUGAGCAGCCUUGCAUUCUCCGAGCUGUGCUUUCCCCUGGGGGUGAGCAUUCCCCUAAGUGCACAGUCCAUUUCAGCUCUGAUAAGUCUUCAGAGGUGAUGGCCUGGAACCUGCAGAGCUGGUGGUGAGGUGGGAACAAGCUCUCUUUGUGAGGCUGCACCAGCUUGCUGGGUGUGCUGGGUGCACUGAAUGAAAUCUUUCAUUUGGUUCCUCAGAGAGUCUAGGAAGAUCCUCAGCUUUUGUCCUGAAUGGGAUUGUAGCCCAGUCCAGGGAAAGAUCACAAAUACCAAGGCUUAGGUUAUUGGAUUGAAUCUUGCUUUGUUAGUGCAACCAUGCUGUGGACUUGGACUUUCAGCCAAGGAAAGAGAGUGCUGCAGAGGCGUGAUCGAAAAGAGGAGGUGGAUCUGUAAAAAUGAUGAUGAGAGUAAUGGGGAAUGGUUAUUGGGUGCCUCUCCUAGUAAAGACAUUGGGAACACAAGACUGAAAUUUUUGGGACAGGUGAAGUGCAAACAAAAAGAGGUGGUUUUUUUUCGUUUGUUUGUUUGGUUUUUUUUUAAUAAUGGUUGUUCCAUAAGUAAUGCCUCCUAUUUUAUUAUGUUGACCUACAACGUCAGAGGUGGAUGUUGGUAGUAUGGUAGUAGAGGUUAAACCUUCCCACCAACAUCCCAUUACAUUUUGUUGCCACGUGACAGAUAGCAGUAGAAGGGUAUUGACAAAAUGAUGUCUGACACAGAAGUGCAUAUGAAGCAAAAGUGUGUCACUGAAUUCCCUCAUGUGGAAAAAAUGGCACUCACUGACAUUCAUUGAUGCUUGCUGAAUGUUUAUAGAGACCAAACAAGUGUGAGCACAGUGAGGCACUGAUGACAGCAACGUGAAAGACAAGCCACAUUCUAGACAUCCAUGCAGAUUUCACAAGUUGGCAUGCAGUCUCUUGUUCAUUGCUGGCAAAAAUUCAUUGAUAUUGGUAGUGGCUAAGUUGAAGAAUAGAGCUUUGUAGCUGAGAAUUUGCUCUAUCAAAUACUUCUAUUGUGCUCCUUGUAUCUGUUGUAGUUUCCAUGGAAAUAAAUGGGAGGCAUUACUUUCAGAGUCAUCUACAUAUAUUGAGAAGGUGAUUUUCUAUUCUCACAGAAGGCAUACUUGACCUCUGGCCACGUCCAUCCAAUCUGACAGACUGGUCUUCGGAGAAUGGUGACCAAGAAUAAGCUCCAUGUCCCACAUGCCACCUGUUCAUCUGCACCGCUCCCUCUCCAGCAGCUCAUGGGCCAUGCCCAGCCUAUGUGUGACACCUCUCUGGCUGCUCAGAUGGAAAGUAAGAGCUUGGAGAGUGAGGACAGCAUGGAGUUAUGGAAGACAUGGCUACAAGAGCAUUCUUUCUCCAUCUCCAUGUGCUUCUGAAGGACCAGUCUGAUUCUGGCUCCUGCCAAGUUAGGAUAUGCUAUGAUUCUGUGAACACUUUUUGCAGCAAGUCAGCCAUAAGAAACAACAUACUCUCAGACAAUCAAGCCUCCAAAUUAAGGUGGGGAGACUUGUUGUGAAGGAGAUGGUUUUUUUUUUCCUACUGUAGAAGGGAUGUUCAAUGCUAUAGUGACAAGGAACAAUUCUUCAGCCUUAGACAGCAGAAAGAAGAAACAUAAAGAGACUGUACAGUUCUUGGGACACCGAGACAACUAUCUACGUGCUUUGUGGAAGCAGAGACAAGUAUGAGAUUUGGCUUUCUGGGCUAUGAGGGCACACAGCUGGCUCACAUCCAGCUCCCAUCCACCAUUUAGAUAAGAUACUAUUGCUUUUAAUAAAGACAAGUCAAAGAUCUUCUCCUAAGUGCUCUUAAAGAACUCCAGCAUUGUGUCUACAAUAAUCCAUCCGCCUUAAAGGAUCCAGCAGUACAUCACCACCAGUGGAUAUAAGAAGUAAUUAGUCAUCAUUUAGGGAAGUAAGAUUUAACAGUUAUUUUGUUGGCAGAAGUGCCGUGAUAAAAAUGGUACUCUGAAAGUUAUUUGGUAUUUCUCAUUGUUGCCAGAGUUCUGAACAUUUUGAUAGGAUGAACAUAGACUUCGGUAGGAAAGUUGUGGAUUUUUUCCCCUCCAUUUAGUAGAAAUAUAAAUGUUACAAAAUAAAUAAUGAUAGAAUAUAUGUGUAUAUAUUUUCAAUGCAUAUUUUAAAAUGCAUAUGAAAUGCAUUUUUUAAAAUAUUUUGUUCAAAUAUUUUUACUAAUGUUGUAUACCUUGCAUCUGUGAAGAGGGUUAUCCCUUAAACAUCCUUUCUUCAGACAGUACUGGGAUUCAUCCUCAGGCCCCGUUAUCUUGCUCUACGUUUCCUAGAGUCCAUCUAUAUAAUAAAUCAGAAUACUGCAUGGUUACACAUCGUAAUUAUUUUUUAAAAUUAUUUUUUAUUUUUUUGCUGAUUGGGGAAAUGGUGAAAACUGGUUUUUGCAUAUUUCAACAAUGUUACUCAGCCAAGUAAAAGAACAAGGGAGCAGAAUGGAAG
ensembl:lncRNA